UGGGGAAUUUUGGACAAUGGGGGCAACCCUGAUCCAGCCAUCCCGCGUGUGCGAUGAAGGCCUUCGGGUUGUAAAGCACUUUUGGCAGGGAAGAAACAGCCUGGGCUAAUAUCCCGGGCGACUGACGGUACCUGCAGAAUAAGCACCGGCUAACUACGUGCCAGCAGCCGCGGUAAUACGUAGGGUGCAAGCGUUAAUCGGAAUUACUGGGCGUAAAGCGUGCGCAGGCGGUUCGGAAAGAAAGGUGUGAAAUCCCAGGGCUUAACCUUGGAACUGCACUUUUAACUACCGGGCUAGAGUACGUCAGAGGGGGGUAGAAUUCCACGUGUAGCAGUGAAAUGCGUAGAGAUGUGGAGGAAUACCGAUGGCGAAGGCAGCCCCCUGGGAUGAUACUGACGCUCAUGCACGAAAGCGUGGGGAGCAAACA
rnacentral:rRNA from 1 species